GAUGAACGCUAGCGGCAGGCCUAACACAUGCAAGUCGAGGGGUAGUUACUUUCGGGUAAUGAGACCGGCGCACGGGUGCGUAACGCGUAUGCAAUCUACCUUUUACAGGGGAAUAGCCCAGAGAAAUUUGGAUUAAUGCCCCAUAGUAUGUAUGAAUCGCAUGGUUUAUACAUUAAAGUUCCAACGGUAAAGAUGAGCAUGCGUCCCAUUAGUUAGUUGGUAAGGUAACGGCUUACCAAGACGAUGAUGGGUAGGGGUCCUGAGAGGGAGAUCCCCCACACUGGUACUGAGACACGGACCAGACUCCUACGGGAGGCAGCAGUGAGGAAUAUUGGACAAUGGGCGCAAGCCUGAUCCAGCCAUGCCGCGUGCAGGAAGAAGCAUCUAUGGUGUGUAAACUGCUUUUGUACAGGAAGAAACACUCCCUCGUGAGGGAGCUUGACGGUACUGUAAGAAUAAGGAUCGGCUAACUCCGUGCCAGCAGCCG
rnacentral:rRNA from 1 species